CAGUGGGGAAUUUUGGACAAUGGGCGCAAGCCUGAUCCAGCCAUGCCGCGUGCAGGAUGAAGGCCUUCGGGUUGUAAACUGCUUUUGUACGGAACGAAAAGACUCUGGUUAAUACCUGGGGUCCAUGACGGUACCGUAAGAAUAAGCACCGGCUAACUACGUGCCAGCAGCCGCGGUAAUACGUAGGGUGCGAGCGUUAAUCGGAAUUACUGGGCGUAAAGCGUGCGCAGGCGGUUAUAUAAGACAGAUGUGAAAUCCCCGGGCUCAACCUGGGAACUGCAUUUGUGACUGUAUAGCUAGAGUACGGCAGAGGGGGAUGGAAUUCCGCGUGUAGCAGUGAAAUGCGUAGAUAUGCGGAGGAACACCGAUGGCGAAGGCAAUCCCCUGGGCCUGUACUGACGCUCAUGCACGAAAGCGUGGGGAGCAAACAGGAUUAGA
rnacentral:rRNA from 1 species